rnacentral:rRNA from 1 species
UACGUAGGGUGCAAGCGUUAAUCGGAAUUACUGGGCGUAAAGCGUGCGCAGGCGGUGAUGUAAGACAGAUGUGAAAUCCCCGGGCUCAACCUGGGAACUGCAUUUGUGACUGCAUCGCUAGAGUACGGCAGAGGGGCAUGGAAUUCCGCGUGUAGCAGUGAAAUGCGUAGAUAUGCGGAGGAACACCGAUGGCGAAGGCAAUCCCCUGGGCCUGUACUGACGCUCAUGCACGAAAGCGUGGGGAGCAAACAGG